UUACUGGGCUUUAUAUCGCCAUGAAUAACGGGCGGAUCCAAACUAUGAAGAUAGUCGAUCCCCCUAGCUAUAUCAACCGCAAUACUAAACCUUUUAUUCCACUGCAUCAAUUCGGGGCACUUCCUCUGGAGAAGGGCGUCCUGUAAGUUGCCAUUAGGCAUGAGUUCAUAAAUCAGUAACAUCGUCCGAUGUUUGCGAUCCGAGGAGAAUCCAAGCGCCGCGACGAUAUACGGAGACUCGAGUUUCGAGGCAAAAAGGAGCUCGUUUUGGAACUCGCGCUCGCCCUGAAAAGAGCCCGACUCCAUGACUUUGACGGCUACCAGUUGCCCAUUUGGGAGAAUGCCGCGAAAUACUGCGCCGAACCCACCUUGGCCCAGGCGAAGGGAAGGGGAGAAUGAGUCGGUGGCGCGGUGGAGGGUAUUGUAAGAGAAACGAUGAGGUGGCUUAGAGUCAGAAGGGACAGUGCGCUUGCGGCUGAUUUUAC
rnacentral:misc_RNA from 1 species